rnacentral:rRNA from 1 species
AACGUAGGAGACAAACGUUAUCCGGAGUUACUGGGCGUAAAGGGCGUGCAGGUGGUCUGUUAAGUCUGGCGUGAAAGCUCCUGGCUAAACCGGGAGAGGUCGUUGGAUACUGGCGGACUAGAGGACGGUAGAGGCGUGUGGAAUUCCGGGUGUAGUGGUGAAAUGCGUAGAGAUCGGGAGGAACACCUGUGGCGAAGGCGGCCCCCUGGGCCGCGCCUGACGCUGAGGAGCGAAAGCGUGGGUAGCAAACAGG